rnacentral:sRNA from 1 species
UAUGUCUAACGAUACCAUGGUGAUGAG